AUGGUUGAGAAUCACCACUCCAAACUGGACAUGCCCAGCCCCUCACAAACAGCGGCGUCAGAGAACGCAACCACUGUACCAUGCGGCGGCGGAGACCAAAGAAGGACAGAAGAAGAGGUCUCACGCCUGGGAGCGUGUACAGGCCUGCAGGGUGACCCCGAUCGCCGGACGUCCACGAGGGAUCGCCGGAGUUCGUGGGGCUACGUUUUCAUCCUCGUGAACAACUGCCUCCAGUACAGCGCUUACUACGGCGUGUCGACGAACCUGGUGAACUUCCUCAAGGUCCAGCUGCACUCCGGCAGCAAGGCCGCGGCGAACAGCGUCACCAACUGGCAGGGCACCGCCUCCAUCACGCCGCUCGCGGCCGGCUUCCUCGCCGACUCUUUCCUCGGCAGGUACUGGACCAUCACCCUCUUCCUCUUCAUCUCCGUCGCGGGGUACGGCGUCGUGGCGGCGAGCGCGGUGUUCUACGCGGGGCUGUACCUGGUGGCGCUGGGCGGCGCGCUGCAGCCGGUCCUGUCGUCGUUCGGGGCCGACCAGUUCGACGCCGAGUCCGACGAGGAGGAGCGCCGGCGGCAGAGCUCCUUCUUCAACUGGUUCUACCUGUCCAUUGUCGUGGGCUCGCUCGUGGGCGGCACCGUCCUGGUGUGGGUGCAGUCCGCCCACGGCUGGCGGCUCGGCUACGGCAUCCCGGCGCUGCUCAGCGUGCUCGCCGUCGCUCUGUUCCUCGCCGGCACGGGCGCGUACCGCCGCCACCAGCCCCCCGGCGGCAGCCCGCUCACCAGGAUCGCGCAGGUGGUGGUCGCCGCCGCCAGGAAGUGCGACGUGGAGAUCCCGACCGACGCCACGCUGCUGCACGAGUGUGACGGGGACGACGGCAUGUCAGUGAUUCAGGGGAGCCGCCGCCUCGCGCACACUGACGAGUUCAGGUUCUUGGACAAGGCGGCGGUGGAGACGGCGGGCGACAAGGCGCGGCCGGCGAGCCCGUGGCGGCUGUGCACCGUGACGCAGGUGGAGGAGCUCAAGUGCGUGCUCCGACUGCUGCCGGUGUGGGCGUGCGGCAUCAUCUUCGCGGCCGCCUACACGCAGAUGACCACCACCUUCAUCCUCCAGGGUGACACGCUGGACCCGCGCGUCGGCAGCUUCCGCGUGCCCCCCGCCGUGCUCACCGUCUUCGACACCCUCAGCGUCAUGCUCUGGGUGCCGCUCUACGACCGCGCCGUCGUGCCGCUCGCGCGCCGCCUCACGGGCCACCGCCGCGGGUUCACGCAGCUGGCGCGCAUGGGUGUGGGCUUCGUCAUCCUCACUGUUGCCAUGCUCGCCGCCGGCACGCUCGAGGUGGCGCGGCGCCGCGUCGUCGCGCGCCACGGCACCUACACCGGCGAGGACGGCGCGGGGUAUGUGCCGAUGUCGAUCUUCUGGCAGGUGCCGCAGUACGUGGUGGUGGGUGCCGCAGAGGUGUUCACGUUCAUCGGGCAGAUGGAGUUCUUCUAUGACCAGGCGCCGGACGCCAUGCGGAACGUCUGCUCGGGGCUCUCCAGCGCGGCGUUUGCGCUGGGCAACUACGCGAGCUCGGCGCUCGUGGCCGUCGUGGUGCGCGCGACGUGGUGCUCGUGGAUCCCCGACGAUAUCAACGACGGCCAUCUGGACUACUUUUUCUGGCUGCUCGCCAUGCUCUGCAUCGGCAACUUCGGCGCGUACCUGCUCGUCGCACGGUGGUAUACCUACAAGAAGACCGCUGACUGA
rnacentral:rRNA from 1 species